CCAGCUCUCCCCACACUGAUGAAUUUAUGUGGGGACCCUUUCCUCCAGUCUCCCAUGUGUCACUGGGAAUACCAUUUGGCAACCUCUAUUUCAAAGGUACAAUCAAUUUUCCACACUACUUCCAUGAUUUUCAAGAAUGAUUAAGAGAAAAAUAAGUUGAACAUAAUGGCCAGAAAGAAGGUUCUGUCAAGUUGUCUUAUGUGGGACAAGAUACCAAGAGCUCGUCUCCAGGAAGGAGGACAUCGUGCGGACAGAAUCACCUCUGGGCCCUGCCGGGGUCGGAGAGGGAGAGAGAGGAGUCAGCUUGGGCGGCGGCGCCCUGGCUGCCGGCACCCGCGGAAGGAAAACUCGCCCAGGCACACGCGCUGCUGCGGGCGCCAAAUAUAACGCGAGCGCCCCGCCCCCUCAGGCCCCGCGCUCACCCACGAGCUCCGCGUGCCCUGAGGCCCGGCUCGGGCGCGGUCGAACGGCGGGGUGGGAAGGACACGUGUGCCCACCCGCGGUGCAGGCAACACCGGGAGCCGCGACACGGGGAAGCGCUUUGUGUGGAGCUCCCGGCUCCGCUCAGGCCCGUCAGUCCCCUCUCAGGGCCUGCGGAGGCCGGGGCGGCUUCUUCGGGCCUCCAGGCCCACCGUGACCAAC